UACGUAGGGUGCAAGCGUUAAUCGGAAUUACUGGGCGUAAAGCGUGCGCAGGCGGUUGUGUAAGACAGAUGUGAAAUCCCCGGGCUCAACCUGGGAACUGCAUUUGUGACUGCACGGCUGGAGUGCGGCAGAGGGGGAUGGAAUUCCGCGUGUAGCAGUGAAAUGCGUAGAUAUGCGGAGGAACACCGAUGGCGAAGGCGAUCCCCUGGGCCUGCACUGACGCUCAUGCACGAAAGCGUGGGGAGCAAACAGG
rnacentral:rRNA from 1 species